GCGUGCUCAGGGAGGGACAAAGGGUCGAACAUGUCAC
rnacentral:scRNA from 1 species